rnacentral:rRNA from 1 species
UACGUAGGGGGCAAGCGUUGUCCGGAUUUAUUGGGCGUAAAGAGCGUGUAGGCGGCCAGACAGGUCCGUUGUGAAAACUCGAGGCUCAGCCUCGAGAUGUCGAUGGAAACCGUCUGGCUAGAGUCCGGAAGAGGAGUGUGGAAUUCCUGGUGUAGCGGUGAAAUGCGCAGAUAUCAGGAAGAACACCUAUGGCGAAGGCAGCACUCUGGGACGGUACUGACGCUGAGACGCGAAAGCCAGGGGAGCAAACGGG